rnacentral:rRNA from 1 species
UGAACGCUGGCGGCGUGCUUAACACAUGCAAGUCGAACGCUGAAGCUCCCAGCUUGCUGGGGGUGGAUGAGUGGCGAACGGGUGAGGUAUCACGUGAGUAACCUGCCCUUGACUCUGGGAUAAGCCCGGGAAACUGGGUCUAAUACUGGAUAGGACUGGCCAUCGCAUGGUGGUUGGUUGAAAGCUUUUUGCGGUUUUGGAUGGACUCGCGGCCUAUCAGCUUGUUGGUGGGGUAAUGGCCUACCAAGGCUUUGACGGGUAGCCGGCCUGAGAGGGUGACCGGCCACACUGGGACUGAGACACGGCCCAGACUCCUACGGGAGGCAGCAGUGGGGGAUAUUGCACAAUGGGCGCAAGCCUGAAUGCAGCGACGCCGCGUGAGGGAUGACGGCCUUCGGGUUGUAAACCUCUUUCAGUUGGGAAGAAGCCUUUCGGGGUGACGGUACCUUCAGAAGAAGCACCGGCUAACUACGUGCCAGCAGCCGC